UACGAAGGGGGCUAGCGUUGCUCGGAAUCACUGGGCGUAAAGCGCACGCAGGCGGAUCGUUAAGUCAGGGGUGAAAUCCCGAGGCUCAACCUCGGAACUGCCUUUGAUACUGGCGAUCUUUGAGUCCGGGAGAGGUGAGUGGAACUCCGAGUGUAGAGGUGAAAUUCGUAGAUAUUCGGAAGAACACCAGUGGCGAAGGCGGCUCACUGGCCCGGUACUGACGCUCAUGUGCGAAAGCGUGGGGAGCAAACAGG
rnacentral:rRNA from 1 species